rnacentral:lncRNA from 1 species
AAACAACCCUGGAUAACAACAGAAGUGCUAAGGGCACUAGGUUCAUCAAGAUGAUAGACACGUCCCUGGGCUAUAGGUUUGACCAUGCCUUUUGGCCAUUGAGGACAAUCCCUCACGAAGUGUUGUGUGCUCCCGUGUUUGUAACAGGAGUUGUUUAAAUGAUGACAAGGCUUAUCACCAUGAAAACAGCCACAAUCCUGACAUGGCUAGGCAAGUUAGGUGGUAUUUCCAGUGGGUGGAGUUAAGACAAAAGGAGGGGCAACUCGGAGUCUCU